rnacentral:rRNA from 1 species
AAACUCAAAUGAAUUGACGGGGGCCCGCACAAGCAGUGGAGUAUGUGGUUUAAUUCGAAGCAACGCGAAAAACCUUACCAGGUCUUGACAUCCAACGACCGCCUAAGAGAUUAGGCUUUCCUUCGGGACGUUGAGACAGGUGGUGCAUGGUUGUCGUCAGCUCGUGUCGUGAGAUGUUGGGUUAAGUCCCGCAACGAGCGCAACCCUUAUUACUAGUUACUACGCAAGAGGACUCUAGUGAGACUGCCGUUGACAAAACGGAGGAAGGUGGGGAUGACGUCAAAUCAUCAUGCCCUUUAUGACCUGGGCUACACACGUACUACAAUGGCUAUUAACAGAGAGAAGCGAGACCGCAAGGUGGAGCAAACCUCAGAAAAUAGUCUCAGUUCGGAUUGGGGCUGCAACCCGCCCCCAUGAAGCCGGAAUUGCUAGUAAUCGCGGAUCAGCAUGCCGCGGUGAAUACGUUCCCGGGCCUUGUACACACCGCCCGUCACACCAUGAGAGCCGGGGGGACCCGAAGUCGGUAGUCUAACCGCAAGGAAGACGCCGCCGAAGGUAAAACUGGUGAUUGGGGUGAAGUCGUAACAAGGUAGCCGUAUCGGAAGGUGCGGCUGGAUCACCUCCUUU